rnacentral:rRNA from 1 species
CGCUGGCGGCAUGCUUUACACAUGCAAGUCGAACGGCAGCGCGGGCUUCGGCCUGGCGGCGAGUGGCGAACGGGUGAGUAAUAUAUCGGAACGUACCCAAGAGUGGGGGAUAACGUAACGAAAGUUACGCUAAUACCGCAUACGAUCUAAGGAUGAAAGCAGGGGAUCGCAAGACCUUGUGCUCCUGGAGCGGCCGAUAUCUGAUUAGCUAGUUGGUGGGGUAAAGGCCCACCAAGGCAACGAUCAGUAGCUGGUCUGAGAGGACGACCAGCCACACUGGAACUGAGACACGGUCCAGACUCCUACGGGAGGCAGCAGUGGGGAAUUUUGGACAAUGGGGGCAACCCUGAUCCAGCAAUGCCGCGUGAGUGAAGAAGGCCUUCGGGUUGUAAAGCUCUUUUGUCAGGGAAGAAAAGGCUGCGGCUAAUAUCCGCAGCUGCUGACGGUACCUGAAGAAUAAGCACCGGCU